CAGGACCUGUGAGGCAGGUGCAGCAUCACUGAGCUAAAUCCCCGGCCCUCCAAGGCAUGCAGAAUGCAAAAUUUGUGGCAUCAAGGAGUUUUCCACCCAGCUAUCAGAAGAAAUCCUGGAAAGUCAAAGAGUGUGCCCAUGAAAGGGUACUGUGUGAAGCUGUGAGGAUGAAGCCAAAAGUGCAGUGGUGACCCCAGGAAUUUGGAGGAGCCAGAAAUAUUGAACAUUUGAGUAGUGCCAUGGAUAGUGAGCAGAGCCAACCCAACAAAGAGGCCAUGAGAGCUGCAACUGGCAAUGCAAUAGGAGUAGGACCACCCAAGUCCUUUGAAGUUCACAUCUCACCACAACUUUCCCUGGGGACUCACAGCUAAGAGUUUGCCUUGGGUCUCAGAGGAGAACUUAAGACUUGGACUUUCCAGCAGUUCUGAACCAUUAAGACUUUGGUGACUCUUAGAGAUAGACUAAAUGUAUUUUGCACAAAGAGAUGCACAUGAGUCUUCUAGAUGUUGUGGCAAAAUUUUAUGGUUUAGAUCAAGAAUGAGUUCCAAAAAUCUCAUGCACUCAUAUGUAGGGCUUUGGAAGAUGAUUGGAUAUUCAGGAAGCUAUAGCUGACUUGCUCUUAGGAAGUGUGGCCCAAUUAGAGGCAGAUCAUGGGGUGGGACCUGGAAGGGUAUGUAUCCCUCCUUGGGUCCUCUCUUAUCUCUCUGCUUCCUUGCUACCAUGAUGUGAGCAGCUUUCCUGCAUAGCAAGUCCUUCUACCAUGUUGCUUCUGCCUUUGAGCCUGCCAAACAUAGACUGAAAAUGUAAGCUAAAAUAAACCUAUUCUCCUUUAAGUUGUGGGUGUUGAGUAUUAUGUCUCAGCAAUGAUAAAAUCACUAAGACUCCCACCAACAAGUUUUAUAUGUUUUUUUAAAACUAGAAUUAAAAAUUUAAAAAUAAGUCAAGUUCAUGCUGGAGUAGAGUAGACCUCUAAUUCAAUGUAACUGGUAUCGUAUCCAUACAAGAUAAUGACUACUGAAACAGCCCUGUGGCCCUGGUGGAAAAUACAGACCCAUGGGCUGGAGCCCAACCAACUCCACAACUGUGAAUUCCACACCUUGGCUCAGCCACCGUCAACUUGGAGCUGGCUCUGCAUUGUUUCCCCUCUGCAUGGUACAGCAGAAGUGCCUACCAAACAAUAGACCUGAUCUUGGACAAGGAAAAAGUCUGGAAUAGAGGAUUCAUCAUGGCUGACUAGGGGAGAAGUCACAUCACAGAAGUUGAGGAAAGAUCCAACAUGGCUGAGUAGAGAAGGAGCCAUGUUAGAGAGACUCAGGGAACAUUAACCAGAAACAAGGAAGAGGAGAAACUAUCAGAAAAGUAAAGGAACAUAAGAUACGGAUUAACCAAACACAAUGUGGUGAUCAUGUCUGAAUUGUGAUUUGAAGAUUCUAACCCAAAGAACACUUCAGAGACAACUGUAGAACAUUCUAUAAGGAAGAGAGAACUGCACUGGGGUGAAAGAAUCAGCAACCAUUGGAACCUGCAAGGGAAGUGUGGGAUACUGCUUUCAGAGUGGCCUUCCAUAGUCAACAUUUGAUAAGUGACCAUGGUCCGGGGUCCCCCGCCACAAUUGUGGAACAAGCGCUGGCAGGAAUGACAUUGUAGGGAAGGGCUCAGUGUUCAAACCCGAGUGCAAGAGCAGCCACACUCCAUGAUGUCACACUCCACAUUGUCAAGUUCCCAAAGUGGAUGAGGGGAGGAAAACCAUGGGAGUUGGAGAGCAGACUGGAGAGAGUCCUGCUGAGGGGCUGGAGCUGGUGAACACAGACCUAGCUCCUGAGGUCAGAGGCCAGGUUCAGCCUGAGUUACAUAGGAUUGGAAGGUCACAUUGGUGCCCUGUCCCCACUGUAUGCAGAUAUCUGCAUCCAGCACCAUUCUGGGGGCUGACUGCCACCUUAGACUUCCAGUGUGAGCAGAAAUAUGUCUUGGCUUGAGCUUGACUCUUUAUUAUUAGUCUGUGGAAAAGAGCCAUACAAUAGAAAACUUCUUUUUUUGCU